CUGCAAUUAUAUUGUAUGCUGGCGAAACAAAACUAUCCAUAGCCGCUGCAUGUUUAUGCACCUGUCCUGAUUGAUUGACCGAGGGGCAUGUCGUUUAGCAGUUAUCGUUUGUUGAUGUUGUUCAUUGGUAUUUUCCCGUUUGGAUAUACAUGAUAUAUAAAUUAGAUCGUUGGUUUUCCUGUUCGAAUUGUGUACGCUAAUAAUUUUGGGAUCCUUUAUAGCCUGCUGUUUGGUCUGUAUCAAAGCCCUGUGUAAAAGGCCGUACUUUGACCUGUGUUUGUUAUUAUCAGUUGAGAACCAACCCUCCCUCAGACAAGGGGUCAUUUUACUGAUGUAGAAAAGAAAAUAGAAAUACCAAGGAUUUGUAUAGUUCUUCUAUACAAAACCUUUGAAAACUUAGAAUUUUGUACUCAAAAAGAGAAGAGUUACAUCAUAUUUUAAACAACUUUUUCUAAAAGAGGGG
rnacentral:lncRNA from 1 species